rnacentral:lncRNA from 1 species
AUGAUUGGGAGGCCACGUUGUGAAAGAGGGAGGCCAUGUAUUUAUUAUAUUUAAAAUCAAGUUGCUGCCAUAUUAUUACUAUUGUGGUUUUGGUGGGUGACAUAAAAAAAAAGAAAAAGGCAGUGAUAUAUAUUUGAGAGGGUGGCGGCAAAUUAGAAGAAAAACCAUUCAGUGGGCACGAGCAGAAUUCUUUUGGGCCACCGAAAACUGUUCCAGCCCAUCAAAUGGCAUGUGAUCGUAAAAUUGGAAUAUGGGGCCUUUGUUAUUUUUUUCCCUACAAAACAUAUAUUACAUCGAUUGGGAGGAAUAUAUAAUUGACGGCAGGGGGAUUGCGUAAAGAUACAUACAUCGACAGAGUCAACAUCAGACGUGAGUUUGGAGGCGACAUUAACAUCAGUCGCACAAUAUCAGACGAUCUUGGAGGAGACGCACGAGAACAUCAGUUUUGAAGGUUGUUUUGCAAGAAAUCAAGUUCAGGAAUCAUUGGGGUCAAGUGGGAAGCUUAGAGAUCAAGGAAUUUACGGGUUCUACCUUACGAUUUCUUUUAUUUUCUAGUUUCUUGUUUUUACUUCGAUGAAUUCUUGUUUGAGAUUUUGUUCGAUUAUUUUUAAGACUAUGUUUCUCGGCUAAAAACCGUAAACUACCUAGGUUAAUGACUAUGGCAUAACAAAGUUUGGAUUUUUAUUCGAUUUUUGGCGUGGUUGUGGAUUUUUCUUGUAUUGUAAAAGCUUUGGG